rnacentral:antisense_RNA from 1 species
CUUCACCGACCCGAGCCACAGCGGGGCGUCGGCGGGCCGGGCCGCACCGUAGGUCGCCAGCAGUGCCUGAGCCUC